UACGGAGGGGGCUAGCGUUAUUCGGAAUUAUUGGGCGUAAAGGGCGUGUAGGCGGCUUCGUAAGUCUUGUGUGAAAGCCCUCGGCUCAACCGAGGAACUGCAUGAGAAACUGCGAAGCUCGAGUCCGGGAGAGGAUAGUGGAAUUCCCAGUGUAGCGGUGAAAUGCGUAGAUAUUGGGAGGAACACCGGUGGCGAAGGCGGCUAUCUGGACCGGUACUGACGCUGAGACGCGAAAGCCAGGGGAGCAAACGGG
rnacentral:rRNA from 1 species